rnacentral:lncRNA from 1 species
GAUCCUUUUCUUUGUUUAUUUGAUAGUUAAAUUUGAUACUUAAGGACCGUCAACAAACUCCCCCAAGCUUACCUCUUGCUCAUCCCUGAGCAAGGAUAGACUCAGCUAUGGAUCAUAAGUUGUUGCAAUAUCUUUAAAAAUUGACGGUACACAUGCUUUUAAAUGAGGUCUCAUCUCUGAGUUAGAGUAAACUGUCAAGACAUAAAACUUACUUACUUUACCUUUCACCAUGGGACUUGUGUCUUGAGUGGUUAAAAGAUAGAACAGUCCAGUCAAGUGCCAUGUCGCUUAUUCUUGAUCAGCUAUAGCUCUGGAGUUUUUUUGCAGAUUUUCAAAUAAAACUCAGAGAUUCCUUUGUAUGACUCUCUCAUAUCUCUCUUUUGUGGUAUUUCUGGAUCCUUACCAAGGCAGUGAUGGUAUAUGCCUUCUCUCAAAAUAUGUGGUAUUUGUGGUAUAAGGCAUAGUGACAUUGCCUUCUCUCUCACCCUACUCUAAUAAGGCUUUAAUAUCUGGAGCUCAUAGGUGGGAGAUAAAGUAUACAUACUUACAAGACAUUUAUUGUAUAGUCAAACCAUGGAUCCAAAGAAACAAAUCAAUAAGCCAAAUCAAGAUGUGCAUGUGUGGCGAAUGAAUAGUGUAUGGUGAUGAUGGUGAUAACAAUGGUGAAAGUCUAAUUCUACUUUUGCUCUUUUGAGGGGAUACAUACCUUCCUUGCUUUUUGAAACUUUAUGAGGAGAAUGAGAUGCUCUUCUUUUUCUUUUCUCUCAGAUGGGUAUCCUGUACCCCUAAUUCUACUGUCGGACACUUGUCCAUUUUUACCUCUCGUCUCACUCUUUUUUCUUUUCUUUCGAGGUUCCGGGCACUUGCCCCUUUCUUAUUUCCUCGUUUAUUUAUUUUUUCUCUUUUCUUCUCUUUUUUUUUCAGAGCACUCAUCUCUUGAGAUAAUAUAGCAAGUGGUAGUAGCGAGAUAACUUGAGCAUUUAUUUCACAAGGGAAAAACACAGAUGUUUUUGGCUAUUCUCUCCCGAAUUAGGAGUAGAAUAUUUUUAUGUGAUUCUGGAGAUAGAAAUGGAUGGAUAUAUGUGGAUGGUACUUCCGGAGUAGAAGUAGCAUAUAUAUGAGUGAACGUGCAAGUAAAUCUUGAUUUAACCACAUGACAAGCUCCUAAGGGUCUACACAGCUUGACCACACUCAAUGCUCAUAAGCAGUAAAUAAUAAAUGUGUGGCUCAAAGUCUAGCAAGCAUGUAUAUAUGGCUGUGGUAGGAAUUUAAACUCUCAUCAUAUAGGAACUCAUCAUGCAACAUUUUAAAGAUUUUCAAAGAUAAAAUUCUCCAGAAUUCUAGCAUCUCUAGGAACAGAUAAACAGCAGCUCAACCUUCCCAUAUCAUAUCCGUUAACAACUUAGACUUCAGAUCAAGUUUUCAUCCCACAAGUUUAGGUCUAGAGCAAGCUUUAAAUUAUAACAGUUAUAUCUAAACUUGAGAGAGAACUUCAAAUUUGUAAAUUAGGCAGAGCAACUAUUCAUCAUAUCCAUGCUAGAGUUUUAUUAUUAAGAUUCAGAUUAGCAUAGCCACUUUAUUUAUUUAUUAAACACACUAAGCAAAAGAUAUAUAUAUAAGCACAAAAUCUUUAUUUGGUUUUUCAUAGUUUAUGUAUUUUAAUAUUCUAAUAUAAUAUAAGUAUAAAGAUAGGUAGAAAUACUUAGUGAGAUAAAUGGGGGUGCUCUCCCCCAAGCUGAAUUUUGACGUAAUUUCUCUUGAUGUAGCUAGCAGGUGGCAGAGGUGUAUUUGAAAGUCAGCAGCAUUCUGACAGCAAUUAGAAUGUCCUCCUUCUGCUAGUCUUCUUUAUUCUUAAAUUCUGUGGAGCUCAAAUAGACAACAAAGCUUGUGGAACUAAUUAAGUGUUAGCAUAAAUAUCUAGCCUUCAUCACGUUGAGCUUCCUCAAUAAAUAUUACUCCCUGUUUUUAUAUUUUUAUUUUAUAAAGUAGAAAAGAAAUAUUUAUUUUAUUUUUAUGCCACCACAGUGAAGGUACUUAUGGGUUUUAUGCCACUCGUAUACUCACAUGGGGCUUAGUAUUUUUUUUAACAUUUUUAUUUUCUUUUCAAGAUAGCAUGAUUAACUAAUAAUCUAUUUAAGGAAAGUAAAUAAUUAAAUGGAAAAGGGAAUGCGGAAAGGAUAAAUAUGGAUAACUACCAAUCUUACCUUUCGGCGAGGGUUCAAUGUUUUAAGUCUUCUUGUCAAGACUUCUCGUCGUGUUCAUUCUUCAGGUGCGUCAUUUGAUUCAGGUGUGGACCUUGACGUCUGCACCUCUUAAUACGGUGUCACCCAUGUUCUUCGUUUGCCCAGCAGUUCGAAGUGCGGUGUUAGCAGUAUCUUGCUCAGUGUGUUUGUGCUCGUAGUGUACCUGCUCAUAGAGACAAGGCAGAGAUCAAGUGCAUGGGCCCUGUUGGUGGAAAACACCAACAGAACCAAAAGUGUAUUUGUUCUUCUCUAACCUUAAGCAUAGUGAGCAAGACAAAGUUGAUGGAUGAUAAGUUCAUGAGUGUAGCACUUAUAACAUUUGUCAGAUCAGAUCGCUCAACCUUAUGGAAAGAUAAUCUAUUUAUGUAUAUGUCUUUUUCUUUAUAUCUCUCAAUGAUUGAAUGUGUAACAUUUUAGCUCAUAUGAUUAGGAGUGUGGGAUCAUGGAGGUAGUACUAGGAACAAGGAUUAAAGGACUAAACAUGUUGAAUCAGUUGGGUUGGUUAAUCUAGAGUUGUAAAUCAUACACGUUUGUCUCUUGUAUUUAUAUGAAUGCCAGAACCAAGGAGAAGCUUAUAAAAGUGAUAGUCAAGUACCUUAGGAUGUUACCUUGCUUGAAAAGUGAUG